GACGAACGCUGGCGGCGUGCUUAACACAUGCAAGUCGAGCGAUGAAGCCCUUCGGGGUGGAUUAGCGGCGGACGGGUGAGUAACACGUGGGUAACCUGCCUCAAAGAGGGGGAUAGCCUCCCGAAAGGGAGAUUAAUACCGCAUAACAUUAGUUUUUCGCAUGGAGAACUAAUUAAAGGAGUAAUCCACUUUGAGAUGGACCCGCGGCGCAUUAGCUAGUUGGUGAGGUAAUGGCUCACCAAGGCGACGAUGCGUAGCCGACCUGAGAGGGUGAUCGGCCACAUUGGAACUGAGACACGGUCCAGACUCCUACGGGAGGCAGCAGUGGGGAAUAUUGCACAAUGGGCGAAAGCCUGAUGCAGCAACGCCGCGUGAGUGAUGAAGGCCUUCGGGUUGUAAAGCUCUGUCUUUUGGGACGAUAAUGACGGUACCAAAGGAGGAAGCCACGGCUAACUACGUGCCAGCCGCCGCGGUAAUAC
rnacentral:rRNA from 1 species